CAGUGGUAUGACGCUACGUCCGUUGGAUUAUGCCUGAACGCCUCUAAGGUCGUAUCCAUGCUGGACUGCAAUGAUAAAUAAGGGGCAAUUUGCAUUGUAUGGCUUCUAAACCAUAAAAAGUUUUUAAUUUGUUUUAUUAACGACAAUGGAUGUGAUGCCAAUGUUAUUAAUAACAUAGUAAAUUUGGAGGAUCUUCGAUCACCUGAUGCCGCGCUAGUUAUAUUUUAAAACAUUAUUUAAUACAAUGUCAAAGCCUAGAAUCAGUUGUAAACGACUUUUGUAACAGGCAGGGCGUUGUAAGUGGUUGAGCAGCUGCCAUACUGCGAUCCACUGAAGCUUAUCCUUUGGUUGAUGAUUCGA
rnacentral:ncRNA from 1 species